rnacentral:rRNA from 1 species
GCGCUAUCUAGGCGCACGGGUGCGUAACGCGUGGGAAUCUGCCCUUGGGUUCGGAAUAACAGUGGGAAACUACUGCUAAUACCGGAUGAUGACGUAAGUCCAAAGAUUUAUCGCCCAGGGAUGAGCCCGCGUAGGAUUAGCUAGUUGGUGGGGUAAAGGCCUACCAAGGCGACGAUCCUUAGCUGGUCUGAGAGGAUGAUCAGCCACACUGGGACUGAGACACGGCCCAGACUCCUACGGGAGGCAGCAGUGGGGAAUAUUGGACAAUGGGCGAAAGCCUGAUCCAGCAAUGCCGCGUGAGUGAUGAAGGCCUUAGGGUUGUAAAGCUCUUUUACCCGGGAUGAUAAUGACAGUACCGGGAGAAUAAGCUCCGGCUAACUCCGUGCCAGCAGCCGCGGUAAU